UACCCAUGUUGAGGCCAUUUCUGGAGGAGCUCCUUGAACCUACCCCAUGUCCCAAAAAGAGACUCCAAUUCCAUUUGCAUAAAAGCGGUAAUUUCAUUCCUGAGCUU